rnacentral:rRNA from 1 species
GGGUAGGCGUGGCAGGGGGUGGCGGUAAGAAGGAGGGGGGAGUGGUGAGUCGGAUGUACUGGGAUUAAAGGGUGCGUAGGUGGGUUGGUAAGUCAGUGGUGAAAUCCCCGAGCUGAACUUGGGAACUGCCAUUGAUACUAUUAAUCUUGAAUACCGUGGAGGUCAGCGGAAUAUGUCAUGUAGCGGUGAAAUGCUUAGAUAUGACAUAGAACACCAAGUGCGAAGGCAGCUGGCUACGCGAAUAUUGACACUGAUGCACGAAAGCGUGGGGAUCAAACAGGAUUAGAUACCCUUGUAGUC